AUUGGAGGGCUGAGAAGAGACUGAUGGCAUUUGUUGUUCUUGACCUUGAAAGAAGAGUUGCAGAUUGUUGGAGCAAGGCCAGACGGUAAUAGGUUGGAAAGAACAAGUGAGGGGCGUGAGAGUGACAGUCCACAACCCCGUUAAGAAGUUAUCUGUGAAAAUGCCUCUUCCUGUCUUGAUUACAGCCCCCCUCGCACAUGGCUUUCUGAGUAUGUUGGUGAAUUUGUAAGCGAUGCCCUUCUCGUUCCUGACAAGUGCAAAUUCUUGCACCAGGAGAGGAUGGAUGUUUGUGAAACUCAUCUUCACUGGCACACCGUCGCCAAAGAGACGUGCAGUGAGAAGAGUACCAACUUGCAUGACU
rnacentral:sRNA from 1 species